rnacentral:rRNA from 1 species
AACGAACGCUGGAGGCAGGCUUAACACAUGCAAGUCGAGCGCAUCCUUCGGGGUUAGCGGCGGACGGGUGAGUAACGCGUGGGAACGUGCCCUCUUCUACGGAAUAGCCUCGGGAAACUGAGAGUAAUGCCGUAUACGCCCGCAAGGGGAAAGAUUUAUCGGAGGAGGAUCGGCCCGCGUUGGAUUAGGUAGUUGGUGUGGUAACGGCCUACCAAGCCGACGAUCCAUAGCUGGUUUGAGAGGAUGAUCAGCCACACUGGGACUGAGACACGGCCCAGACUCCUACGGGAGGCAGCAGUGGGGAAUCUUGGACAAUGGGGGCAACCCUGAUCCAGCCAUGCCGCGUGAUCGAUGAAGGCCUUAGGGUUGUAAAGAUCUUUCAGCUGGGAAGAUAAUGACGGUACCAGCAGAAGAAGCCCCGGCUAACUCCGUG